GCCCCACUAGCCCAAUGGCUAGGGCGUCAGACUUCUAUUACUUGAAAUCUGGAGGUUGCGGGUUCGAGUCCCGCGUGGGGUU